rnacentral:rRNA from 1 species
UCGGUAUCCGAUCGCGGAACGUACAGCCCUCCGAGGUGGACUCGCCGCUGGACCGAGGAUGCCGCGGUGGCCUCACGCCGCGGGCCGUCCGGGAGCGUUCGACUUUGGCCACGCUGCUCGCAGCGGGUCGAGACCGCGCGCCUGGUACGGGCUCGCGAUCGUGGGUCGCCUAGGGUCAGUGGCGAAUCGGUCGGCAACCCACCAGACCCGUCUUGAAACACGGACCAAGGAGUCUAGCAUGUGCGCGAGUCACGGGGUCUCUCGAAACCCAAGGGCGCAAUGAAAGUGAAGGCCGCCUCCGGCUGGCCCAGGCAAGAUCCCGAGUCGUUCGCGACGAGGGCGCACUGCCGGCCCGUCUCGCUGGCAUCGACCACGAGGCGGAGCAAGAGCGCACACGCUG